rnacentral:misc_RNA from 1 species
AACGCACCUUGCACUUCCAUUAACCGGAAGUAUAUCUGUUCGAGUAUCAUUAUACUCUCAAAUACAACAUUUUGUUGUAUUUGGACUUGAGUGUUCUGUCUGGCCGCUUUCGCAGACCGUCACUUUAAAUGAAAGAGUUUGAGAGCGUCUUUAAGACAUCUCUGUUCCCUUGACUUGUUCAAAAUGAGCCUUGGGAACGCUGGUCUUGCGCUGUACUGAAGCAAACUCUAGGACCGUGAGGCAUAAAGGCCUUGAGCCUUUCACCUUGAAUCUCGAAUCAGAUAAGAUUACCCGCUGAACUUAA